rnacentral:rRNA from 1 species
GUGUCAGCCGCCGCGGUAAGACGAACCGAGCGAACGUUGUUCGGAAUCACUGGGCUUAAAGGGCGCGUAGGCGGGCUGCCGCGUCCGGGGUGAAAUCCCACGGCUCAACCGUGGAACGGCCCCGGGUACGGGCGGCCUCGAGGGGGGUAGGGGCGUGCGGAACUGUGGGUGGAGCGGUGAAAUGCGUUGAUAUCCACAGGAACUCCGGUGGCGAAGGCGGCACGCUGGACCCCCACUGACGCUGAGGCGCGAAAGCCAGGGGAGCGAACGGGAUUAGAUACCCCCGUAGUCC